rnacentral:rRNA from 1 species
GGACGAACGCUGGCGGCGUGCCUAACACAUGCAAGUCGAGCGAAGUAAGUCUAGAUGAAAUUUUCGGAUGGAAUUUAGACUUAUCUUAGCGGCGGACGGGUGAGUAACGCGUGAGAAACCUGCCUUUCACAAAGGGAUAGCCUCGGGAAACUGGGAUUAAUACCUUAUGAUACUUGAGAUUCGCAUGAAUCUUAAGUUAAAGCGUAAAGCGGUGAAAGAUGGUCUCGCGUCCCAUCAGCUAGUUGGUGAGGUAACGGCUCGCCAAGGCUACGAUGGGUAGCCGGCCUGAGAGGGUGAACGGCCACACUGGAACUGAGACACGGUCCAGACUCCUACGGGAGGCAGCAGUGGGGAAUAUUGCACAAUGGAGGAAACUCUGAUGCAGCGACGCCGCGUGAACGAUGAAGGUCUUCGGAUCGUAAAGUUCUGUCCUAGGGGACGAUAAUGACGGUACCCUAGGAGGAAGCCCCGGCUAACUACG